rnacentral:rRNA from 1 species
AGUGGGGAAUAUUGGGCGAUGGGCGAAAGCCUGACCCAGCAACGCCGCGUGAGGGAAGAAGGUUUUCGGAUCGUAAACCUCUGUCCUUGGUGAAGAGAAAGAGACGGUAGCCAAGGAGGAAGCCCCGGCUAACUACGUGCCAGCAGCCGCGGUAAUACGUAGGGGGCGAGCGUUGUCCGGAAUGAUUGGGCGUAAAGGGCGCGUAGGCGGCCUGUUAAGUCCGGAGUGAAAUUCCUGCUUUCAAGGUAGGAAGUGCUUUGGAAACUGGCGGGCUGGAGUGCAGGAGAGGUUAGCGGAAUUCCCGGUGUAGCGGUGAAAUGUCGUAGAGAUCGGGAGGAACACCAGUGGCGAAGGCGGCUAACUGGACUGUAACUGACGCUGAGGUCGCGAAAGUGUGGGGAGCAAACAGGAUUAGAUACCCUGGUAGUCCACACUGUAAACGAUGAAUGUCUAGGUGUAGGGGGUAUCGACCCCUUCUGUGCCGGAGUCAACACAAUAAGCAUUCCGUC